rnacentral:rRNA from 1 species
CAAAUUGGACAUUACCAAGUAUGAGGAGCGGGCUGGAUCUCCUUCUCGGGGAUAUACAGCCUUGCUGAAUUAUUCACCCUUGUCUUUUGCGUACUUCUUGUUUCCUUGGUGGGUUCGCCCACCACUAGGACAAACAUAAACCUUUUGUAAUUGCAAUCAGCGUCAGUAACAAAUUAAUAAUUACAACUUUCAACAACGGAUCUCUUGGUUCUGGCAUCGAUGAAGAACGCAGCGAAAUGCGAUAAGUAGUGUGAAUUGCAGAAUUCAGUGAAUCAUCGAAUCUUUGAACGCACAUUGCGCCCUUUGGUAUUCCAAAGGGCAUGCCUGUUCGAGCGUCAUUUGUACCCUCAAGCUUUGCUUGGUGUUGGGCGUCUUGUCUCUAGCUUUGCUGGAGACUCGCCUUAAAGUAAUUGGCAGCCGGCCUACUGGUUUCGGAGCGCAGCACAAGUCGCACUCUCUAUCAGCAAAGGUCUAGCAUCCAUUAAGCCUUUUUUUCAACUUUUGACCUCGGAUCAGGUAGGGAUACCCGCUGAACUUAAGCAUAUCAUUUAAGCGGAGGAAGAA